rnacentral:rRNA from 1 species
GACGAACGCUGGCGGCGUGCUUAACACAUGCAAGUCGAACGGAAAGGCUCCAGCUUGCUGGAGUACUCGAGUGGCGAACGGGUGAGUAACACGUGGGUAAUCUGCCCUGCACUCUGGGAUAAGCCUGGGAAACUGGGUCUAAUACUGGAUAUGACCUUUCUCCUUAUGGGGUUUGGUGGAAAGUUUUUCGGUGUAGGAUGAGCCCGCGGCCUAUCAGCUUGUUGGUGGGGUGAUGGCCUACCAAGGCGACGACGGGUAGCCGGCCUGAGAGGGUGAUCGGCCACAGUGGGCUAGGGGAGCGGCCCGGAGCCAAACGGGCGCAAGGGGUGGGAAAUUUACAGAAAAGGGCGGAAGCAGGAAGGAGGGUCGCCGGGUGGGGAAAGACGGCUUUGGGGUAUGAAACCUUUUUCAAGGAAAAAGAAGCGUAAGGAAGGGAACUUACAAAAAAAGCACCGGCUAAUUAGGG